rnacentral:rRNA from 1 species
AUGAACGCUGACAGAAUGCUUAACACAUGCAAGUCAACUUGAACUUCGGUUUGGGUGGCGGACGGGUGAGUAACGCGUAAAGAACUUGCCUCACAGCUAGGGACAACAUUUGGAAACGAAUGCUAAUACCUGAUAUUAUGAUUAUAUGGCAUCGUAUAAUUAUGAAAGCUAUAUGCGCUGUGAGAGAGCUUUGCGUCCCAUUAGCUAGUUGGAGAGGUAACAGCUCACCAAGGCGAUGAUGGGUAGCCGGCCUGAGAGGGUGAUCGGCCACAAGGGGACUGAGACACGGCCCUUACUCCUACGGGAGGCAGCAGUGGGGAAUAUUGGACAAUGGACCGAGAGUCUGAUCCAGCAAUUCUGUGUGCACGAUGAAGUUUUUCGGAAUGUAAAGUGAUUUCAGUUGGGAAGAAAAAAAUGACGGUACCAACAGAAGAAGUGACGGCUAAAUACGUG